rnacentral:rRNA from 1 species
UACGUAGGGGGCAAGCGUUGUCCGGAUUUAUUGGGCGUAAAGAGCUCGUAGGCGGUUGGGCAAGUCACGUGUGAAAUCUCCACGCUCAACGUGGAGGCGCCACGUGAGACUGCCCUGACUCGAGUCCGGUAGGGGAGCGUGGAAUUCCCGGUGUAGCGGUGAAAUGCGUAGAUAUCUGGAGGAACACCGGUGGCGAAGGCGGCAUCCUGGACCGGUAUUGACGCUGAGGCGCGAAAGCCAGGGGAGCAAACGGG